UACAGCAGCUGCUGCAAAUUUGAUUGGUGGUAUUGAGUGGGGAAGAGGGACUGAAAAUAAUUAAAGGAUUGAUGUUUUUGAAGCUAAUGUUGAUAGUUCCAAUGAAAGGGAAAGGGGGACUGGUAAAGGCAGAGGGGUUGUUGCUCUUGCAUCUAAUGUAGAUGGUGCCAAUGUAAAGGGGAGAGAGUGAUAAAAAUAUAGGUACUGUUGCUCUAUGUCUAAUAUAGUUGGUGCCACUGGAAGGCGAAAAAGGACUUGUAGGGAUAGAGCGAUUGUUGCUCCUACUUCAAAUAUUGUUGGUGUCAUUGGAAGGGGUAGAGGGAGUGUUGCUACUACAUCAAAUAUUGAUGGUGUUCGUGGAAGAGUAGAUGGGUUGUUGAUCCUGCAUCUAACCUUGGUGGUGUUACUCGUAGGGAUCGAUGGACAAGUUUUGAAAAAUCAAGGAUGGUUGGGAUGGAGGUUCUACAUAUACAAAAUGGUUUUAAAAUCCACAAUUCUGAAAUGCCUUUGAAAUCCUCUCUAGUAACUAAAAAUUUUGAGCAUCAUAAACCAAGAUCAAGUGUGAAAUGUAAAAGAAUGCCUCUUUUGUCACCCAACAAGGACUUCAAGAAAUGAGAGCACAAAAAAGAAUGAAGACAAGUACCAAAGCUGCUGAAAUAAAUCAAUUAAGCCAAACAAGUUCUUCAGUUGUGUAGUGUUUGAACUCUGAUUUGUUCCACUAAAUUCUGUCAUUUAUUUGAUGUUUGAUUUGCUCAAACAAUUAUAUAGUUAUGCUUGGAUAGAUAUAUUUUUGUAAAACAAUUAUGCAGAUAUGACUGUUGUGUGAUGUCUAUUUUAUUUCAAACAAUUAUGCAUCUGUGACUGCAUUUUUUGA